CUAGGAGGGUGUUCUGCCAUCAUCACGUUAUGAAAAGCAUUUGAAAGAAAGGCUGACUGUUGUUGACAAGGAGGAGGGGAAACUUUAGGCUAAAAGAGGAAGAAAGCAGUCAGGGGAUAUUAUCCAGAAAGAAAACAUUUUAGGUCCUCCCUUUUAAAACUAAGUCAAAAUCUGGUAUAUUUCAGUGGAACUGAGUUGUUUAGCUUUAGAAGCCAUACAGUGACCCCAUAGCCCUACACUCAUCUCCUCUGUUAAUGACUCUACAGCUAUAAACCAGGCUUGACUAUGUUCUAUAAAGAAGACCCUCUCAAUAGACUAGAUUUCCUUAUCCACAGAAAGGAGAAAACUCUCAGGGCAAUGUUAC
rnacentral:lncRNA from 1 species